GAGAAGGAAUUAAAACUUUAAAGCGAGCAGUAUCAGAUAUUCUAGAUGGUAUGUCAUAGAAGCAAUUAAAAUGCAAGUAUUUUCCCUGUAUUUUGUAUAUUUGUUCAUUGUGCAUUUAUUCUCCGUACAGAAUUUUCUAAACACCCAGAACUAGAUGAGAACGUUGCCGUUAUAGUUUUUGGGAAAGAGACGAAAUUUCUACAAUAUUACUCAAAUCGUUAUACGACGAUUAAUCAAAGCAUAGGUAAGACAAUAUUGAUCCUCUUCUAGCAUUGUGUGUGUACACACAUUGUCGUGUGUAACUUUUUAAAAUGACUAUUUGGGUCGAAUAUAGUUUUUCUUUUGAGAUUGUUAUUAUGUAUUUAGAAGAUUUGGAGCCCAUUGGCGCCUCUCCACUCACAGCGGCCUUUUUGCUAGCCCUAGGCGGUCUGUAUGAGGGUUCAGCUAGCACACAUGUAAUAGGAGACUUUCUGUUGCCUCCAAGGGUAGUUGUGUUUACAGACGGUAGACUUACAAAUUUUGCUGAUAACGGCGCAAAAGAACACGAAGCAGAUUUCUUCCCCAGCCAUCAAUUAUUGACUCCGCUUUUUUCCAUAACGCAUCGGAUUGGAAAAAACCAUCCGAUUUAUUGCUUCCCCAUUGGUGAUACUCCUAAUAUUAGUUUACUACACACAAUUUCAAUAAAAUCUAAAGGAGGUCAAAUGUUGGACACUGGCAGGGCGAGAUGGUUUGGAAGAUAUACACUUCAUUAUAGAACAGCAGAUACCAUUUACAGAAUGACAAACAAGACCAUUGUGGAUAGAGGGAUCUUGAAUAACUUUGUCCAGUCUAUAAUGAAUGGGCAGGCAUACCAGGAAGAGGAUUUAGUGAGUUGAAUUCCUUGUACUGCACAACGUUGGUCUGUCACAAUCAGUGCAAUUGAAGAUAGAAAUGAAUAUGGACUGUUUAGUCUAGAAGGGAGACACUGUCUAGUAUUUUAAUCGGACCGAGAAACUAUUUGAUUUUAGAAAAGAGAAAGUUGCAAAAAUGUAAAAAUAACCAUUUUCAUACUUUUUUUUCGUUCUCAAUAAACAAUACAACAUU
rnacentral:misc_RNA from 1 species